rnacentral:rRNA from 1 species
CCGAGGGGCGUCUAUACUGCAGUCGAGCGGACAGAAGGGAGCUUGCUCCCGGAUGUUAGCGGCGGACGGGUGAGUAACACGUGGGUAACCUGCCUGUAAGACUGGGAUAACUCCGGGAAACCGGAGCUAAUACCGGAUAUUUUCUUGAACCGCAUGGUUCAAGGAUGAAAGACGGUUUCGGCUGUCACUUACAGAUGGACCCGCGGCGCAUUAGCUAGUUGGUGGGGUAAUGGCUCACCAAGGCGACGAUGCGUAGCCGACCUGAGAGGGUGAUCGGCCACACUGGGACUGAGACACGGCCCAGACUCCUACGGGAGGCAGCAGUAGGGAAUCUUCCGCAAUGGACGAAAGUCUGACGGAGCAACGCCGCGUGAGUGAUGAAGGUUUUCGGAUCGUAAAGCUCUGUUGUUAGGGAAGAACAAGUGCGAGAGUAACUGCUCGCACCUUGACGGUACCUAACCAGAAAGCCACGGCUAACUACGUGCCAGCAGCCGCGGUAAUACGUAGGUGGCAAGCGUUGUCCGGAAUUAUUGGGCGUAAAGGGCUCGCAGGCGGUUUCUUAAGUCUGAUGUGAAAGCCCCCGGCUCAACCGGGGAGGGUCAUUGGAAACUGGGAAACUUGAGUGCAGAAGAGGAGAGUGGAAUUCCACGUGUAGCGGUGAAAUGCGUAGAGAUGUGGAGGAACACCAGUGGCGAAGGCGACUCUCUGGUCUGUAACUGACGCUGAGGAGCGAAAGCGUGGGGAGCGAACAGGAUUAGAUACCCUGGUAGUCCACGCCGUANACGAUGAGUGCUAAGUGUUAGGGGGUUUCCGCCCCUUAGUGCUGCAGCUAACGCAUUAAGCACUCCG